CAACGUUUCAGUCCCCCAUAGGGACUUUCUUCAGGAUCAUAAACCUAAUCCUGAACAAAGUCCCUAUGGGGGACUGAAACGUU